UUUUUUUUUUUUUUAUUUCUUCUUUUUCGCGUUGUGUCUAGAGCUAUUAUCCAUAGAUCGGUGGAUGCUAGGUUUUGCGACUCAGGAGAUGCGAUGAAUCCGGUCGAAUUGCAUCGUUUUGUUCUUCAUUUGUGCAGUAGAUUCAUCUGGUGUAGUUUCUUCUGGUCUAGGUCGAAUCUCGUCUUAUUAGUUUCAUCUGGUGUAGGUCGAAUCUCAUCUGGUGUAGUUUUGAAUUUUGAAUUCUCUAUAAUUUUCCCUCCUGAUUGAAUUUCUUCUAAUCCACUUGUCUAUAAAUUGAGGAUGGGGAAGAGUCGAGACCAACAAAUUAUAGUUUGGCUUGGACAGGAUGGUUCAUAACGAGAAGGCGAAGGUGGAUGUCAAGUUCGAUGAUGUUGCAGAUAUAUUGCCUGGGAAAUAAAAUGUUUGUAUUAAGGUGAGAUGUCAUUAUUCUCUCUUUCAACCUAAACUGGAUACAAAUCUGAGAGCGUUUUUCAAAUUCAAAAAAUUGGGUUUUUUUAUUAGUUUUUUUUCUGCUAUAAAUUGGGAGGGAGGUUUGGACAAACAAACAAGGUUGCUCACACAAAUCUGUUUGCAUCUUCUUUAAUCAUGGAAAAGCUCUAAGCGGUAUUUUACCUGAGAAAGAGGGGAUUCGUAUUAAGGUUGUGUUUUGCGCUUGUGGAAAGUCCCGGCUUUCCUCAAUCCUUCGGAGACAGUUCAAUUGAAAUGGUGCUCGUGGAUGACAAGGAUCGACAUACAUUUUUUUCCGUCGAUAAUCAUGUUAUGUCUUAAAUAAAUGUUCCAUCAUGCUGGAGGAUUUAUUAUGUUCUGUUAUUCAUAAUUUAUAUGGUGUGUUUCAUUUGUUACGAAGGUAAAAUCCAUGCUUCUGAAGUUGGUAUCAUGCGUUCUGGAUAGCCACCAUCUAAAUAGACCAGAUAGAAUGCAGAACAACUCAGCCCGUGAUAAAGUCAAUUCUGUCAAGUGUAUAGAUAUAUGAGUCUUUAACCAUUGAAUUUCAUUAUAUGCACCACUUAGUUUCUAAGGUUAGAAAUAAUUAAGUUAUGUUUGUUUUAGUUUGACAUGAUUCUCCUUUAUUAUUUAAUAGAUGUAAUUGGUCUAAUGACUGGAAUUUCUGCUGAAAAAGAGUAUGUUAGGGAUGGUAAGAUAACAAAAAUGGUUGUGAUUGAGGUUAUGGAUUCAAGGUAUAAGUUUUUCAUGCUGCCCAUUUUGAUAUGAUGUUUAUGUGUUCAUAGGCUUAUUUGUGUGUUUUAUUUGCUUGAAUAGUGGGAAAUGUGAGUGUGCUCUAUUUGGUGACUAUGUUGAUGAUUUGAAAGAAGAUGGGAAAAUCUUCUAAAGGCCUUCCUGCAUAAGUUUUUAUGAAUGGGAUUGCUCUUCAUGGCGUUGAUGUUGAUUCCAAUGUGCAUUUGAUUGGUGGGAGUGCAAAACCUCCACCUGAUGAAGAGUUUCUACGGAUGCAUCCUAAAAAGAAAAUAGAUGUGUGAAACAUAUAUUUCAAGUUGUUCCUAGGUUCAAGGUCAAGAUUGAAGUGAGCGAUGGUGAUUCUACUGCUGGAUUCAUUCUCUUUGAUUCUGACAUAAGUUAUUUGAUGGAGAAGUCAUGUGCUUACUUUGUUGCCCAAAGGCAUCAAAUGAAGGGGUUUAUCCCAUUGAAUUUGAUUUUCUGGUUGGUAAGAAGAUGCUUUUUACUAUCGAUAAGGGUGUGAAGCAAACAAUCAAAUUUGAUGGAUCAUUUAGGGUCAAAAGGGUUUGCUUAGAUGCAAAAAUUAUUGAAAUCUUUGUUGCCCAGGGCCAUAUGUUACUCAUGUCAAGGCUGUGUCUCAGAUUAUUGAUGUUGAUUCAGAUGAAAUAGUAGAUGAUGUUGAUUUUGUGACCUCUCCUGCUGAAGUCCAAAAGAUUGAUACAAAUGAGUGUGCGCCAAUGACCAUGAAGAGGGACCUCAAUGAAUCUUUGAAUGUUGUAGCUCAAGUUGAAGGGAAAAAACAUUUGAGGAAAGUCAAGAUAGAGAAGGAAUGAAUUCUAUGGAUUUCAUGAAUCCUUGAUUAUCAUAAAUAAUUGGUUGUACCUCUUAUUAAGUUUAGUAUUGUAUGUGUGUUAUGUUGAGCUCAUUGUGAUUGUGCCUUAAAUAAUAGUUGUUUGUUCCACUGCAUUGCGUUUAUGUAUAUGCAGUGAUGUUUUGUCUCCUGAUAUGGAGUUGAAUGUUAUGUGUUCUCCUGUAUUGCUCUGAUGUGCAUGCAGUGAUCUUCAAUGUAUUAUAAGUUAUGAUAAUGAAACUACUUAGUUCUAUUUUA